rnacentral:rRNA from 1 species
UACAGAGGUCCCAAGCGUUGUUCGGAUUUACUGGGCGUAAAGGGUGCGUAGGCGGUCAAGCAAGUCCAACGUGAAAUCUCCAAGCUCAACUUGGAAAAUGCGAUAGAAACUGCAUGACUAGAGUAUUUGAGAGGAAGCCGGAAUUCUCGGUGUAGCAGUGAAAUGCGUAGAUAUCGAGAGGAACACCAAUGGCGAAAGCUGACUUCUGGAAAAAAACUGACGCUAAGGCACGAAAGCUAGGGGAGCAAACGGG